CCCUAAAGCUGUUGCAAGUUUUCCAAAAUGGGUGCUCGCAAUUACGCAAAGAAACGCCAUUACCUUCUAUUUCAACUUCCUUAAAGCUGUUUUUGAAGGUCAUUUGAGUGCGUCUCAAUGGUAUGCUCCCUGGGAGGUGGGCAGAUGACAACCCUUCUGGAAGGAGGGAGUACAUCGCAAAUAAUGGCAGAGGAUGUAGGCUGUUGGAAAUUAGCGGCUCAAUACGUUCAAAGGGAACUUAAAGAGGCAGAUGAAGUAAAUUUGCUUGAUGAAGAAGGUAAAUUUUCUGAUUCGUUAUUUGGAGUUGCAAAAUACUUGAUGCAAACCUUCUUAUCUAUGAUUUUUGGAGUAACAGAAACCUCCUUCAGAGUAAAUAAUGAUCUUGCUGACUCUCUUUUUAUUGCUUUAAGUUGGAUUUUAUAUUUCCACGAGUUGCGUAAAUAUAUGCUCGCUUGCUCCUGGACAAAAAUUGGUGUUUCACCACCAGCUAUUUCCUCAAAAUACCCCUUCACAUAAAACCAGCAUAUUAAUAGUUAUACCUCACACCGAUUGAUCAAAGAGGGAUGUUAUAACUCUAGUGAUUGAAUUUAAAAUUUGAAAUUAUAGAAGAGUGUUGUCUAGCCUGUUUACAUCACAUCAUAUGGCAAAUAGAAAUUGCCCCUUAUGAGCAGACCUUGCCUUUUUAGUUUUUUUUUAUUAUCAUCCCAGAAAGAGUAAUCUUGCACUUAAUAAAGACAUCCCUAAAUAGAAAUUGUUUCACUUGUUGGCAGAUAGAGAGUUAAACACAUCCCUAAGAAACUUGGUUUAUUUAAAUUUUACUUUUCUAUGUUACCCUUUGUUGAGAAAAUUGGAUGAGAUUAAGUUUUCUUAUUGUCUCUUGGAAGGAAGAAUACAACCAUAUAUACAAGAUUCACAAGGGAAGAAAAAGGAAACUGAAACUAUCUACUAAGUAAAACGAAACUAAUUUAACAACCUACUAUAUUAUCUAUCUUAUUGCCUGCCUGCUUGCACACACCUUUUUUUUGUGCGCAAGCUGGGGGUCUUCACAGAAACAUCCUCUUAAAUUAAGGGGGAAAUCGGGUAAACAUAAGACAUAUGAUAGGAAAAGGGAUGGAGUGAGAUGAAGAUUGCCAGAAACAAGAGCAAUGGAUGUAGAACCUUAUGCUAAAGUUAAUUUUGAAGGAGAAGAGCGAGGUUUAAAUUUAGCAAAAUUAUUAGGAUUACCUGUCAUAUCAUUUGAAACACCAGAGUCAAUGUCCCAUCGAGAUGAGGAGGAAAGCACAUAUAUUUGGAUUACCUAGCUUAGUAGCAGCAGUUGCCA